AGGACGAACGCUGGCGGCGUGCUUAACACGUGCAAGUCGAGCGGAAAGGCCCUUCGGGGUACUCGAGCGGCGAACGGGUGAGUAACACGUGAGCAACCUGCCCCAUGCUUUGGGAUAACCCUCGGAAACGGGGGCUAAUACCGAAUAUUCACGACGGAUCGCAUGGUUUGUUGUGGAAAGUUUUUCGGCGUGGGAUGGGCUCGCGGCCUAUCAGCUUGUUGGUGGGGUAAUGGCCUACCAAGGCGACGACGGGUAGCCGGCCUGAGAGGGCGACCGGCCACGACUGGGACUGAGACACGGCCCAGACUCCUACGGGAGGCAGCAGUGGGGAAUAUUGCACAAUGGGCGGAAGCCUGAUGCAGCGACGCGCGUGAGGGAUGACGGCUUCGGUUGUAAACUCUUUCAGCAGGACGAGCGCAAGUGACGGUACCUGCAGAAGAAGCGCCGCCAACUACGUGCCAGCAGCCGC
rnacentral:rRNA from 1 species